rnacentral:rRNA from 1 species
UACAGAGGUCUCAAGCGUUGUUCGGAUUCACUGGGCGUAAAGGGUGCGUAGGUGGCCGGUUAAGUCUGACGUGAAAUCUCCGAGCCUAACUCGGAAACUGCAUCGGAAACUAUCCGGCUCGAGGGUUGGAGGGGGGACUGGAAUACUUGGUGUAGCAGUGAAAUGCGUAGAUAUCAAGUGGAACACCAGUGGCGAAGGCGAGUCCCUGGACAACUCCUGACACUGAGGCACGAAAGCUAGGGGAGCAAACAGG